UCUCUCUCGAAAGAAGCAGCGGCGGCGGCGAUUUCGCGGCGAGGCGGCGGCGCGACGGCGCGUGAUGCAGCGCCGCACGCAAGGGGCGGCGCACGCGAGAGGUGGUCGAGCGCGCGGGGAGGCGGCGGCGGCAGGGCGCAGCGGCGACGGCGGCGGAGCGGCGCAGCGACAGCGCGCGGCGGAGAGGCCGCGGCCGGCGGCUCCCCGUGCGGCGGGCUGAUGCCGCACGGUCUGAUGCCGUGUCGGCGCCCACCGUCCCGGUUCUCCUCCGCGCGCAGCCGGGGCCACGGCAGUGAGCCUCGACCUCGCGCGGCCCAUGGGAGGCAGGCGCGAGGCCGGUCCGAGACGACGGCGAGCUGAUGCCACGCGCGGCGACGGCAGCGAGUUCGUCAUAAGGGUAAGUAAAUUUGCUAAUCCGCCGGGCUUUUAGGGUUCUUAUCUGGGGAUUUCUCAAAUUAGGGUUUCGAAAAAUUUGGGGAAAUUGGGGAUUGUUACUAUCCGCUGAAAUUCACCUCCUUCUAAUUGCUACCCAAGCCUAAAUCUAUCCUAAAACGUAAACAUAAACUUAAUAAACCAUGAGCAGUGAUUAAUCGAAACUUAAUCCGAAUAAGACAUGAUUAAUUAACAUCAAUUCUAAUGUAAUUUGCAUCAAAACCGACAUGAAAACGAGGCUUAGAUGCACCUUAUGGCUUCUAAACGGGAUGAUGGGAUCAUUAGGCUAUAGCAGUGGCUCUGAUACCAAAUGUAGAUAUUGCGAUCUACUAAGACAUAAGUGCUAAGCCUAACAUGAUCACCCUAAUGCGGAAUUUAGGAUUACUGACCGUUGUUUGAAGCCAUUGCAAUUGUUCUCGCUUGGUCCGGGGUGGAUGUAGAGGAUGUAGAACCUCGAACCACCUCGCGAAUUGUCGGUGUAGGAGAAGUGGUCGUAGCAGUGAGUACACCGGCUUGAUCCUGAAGAGGUCGCCGGCGAUCACCUGCGGGGUGACGGCGGCCUUCCGGUCGCCACCUACUCUGUCCCGGAACAGCAAUACGAAUCCCUUCCAGCGCAACUAAGAAUCGGGAAAUUAGGGUUUUGGGAUGUCGGGGAGAUUGGAACCGUGAGUGAGAUCGUCAUCUAUCUCACGGGCCGGCCUCCCCUUUUAUUUUUUGCGCUGAGGGAAUCAGGGGCUGCUUCAAAAGGAAACGUUGGAAGCGUUACCGAUUAUUGCGUGUGCAAUUAAGGAAAUUUAAUCGUGAUUUGAUUUAGCUAAUCACGCUGGUUAACGGGUGGAAAACGGUAAUGCGUGAUUUUCUCCCGAUUUCCAUAGCCGAGAAAUUAACUUUCCUAACAACUAUUUCUUUAUUUUACCAUAUUACAUGGAAAUUACCCAUGUUAUAUAAUAUACUCUGAUAUAUCUAUGUAACCAACCAUGUCUCCACGUAGUUUUAUCAUCAUUCAUCAACCAAAUGUAUAAUUUGAACACAUGCCUAAAAGAGAGAUAAUUUGUAACUUACAAUGUAACCUUGAAUUAUUUGGUUAUAUAAAGUUAUACUCCCAACAUCCCAAAAUAUAAGGAGUUUUGGUUGGAUGAGACACAUUCAGAUUCAUAGUAUUAUAAUGUGUCCCAUCCAACCAAAACUCAUAUUUUGAACGGAGGAACUAUUAUAUAGUCAUGAUAAGUUAAAUAUGUGAUUUUACUUGCCAAUAUUUAUGACACUAUUUACCGGUCUCACCAGCAUGUUUUCGUCCAUACGCAUCAACAAAUCUAUGCAUACUUCUUAUUUUUGAAAAAGAAAAGCAUUUGAGAACUUAUGGAUAAAGUUUCAAAAAUUUUAUUUUUCAAGUCAAAUGCAUCCAUCCGCUAAUUUCUUGUGCAUACAAUGUAAUUUACGCAAGUUUUACCCUAAAAGAGUAAAAGGCGUUAGUCUGGUGAUGGUGUCCCGUGUACAGAGCAACUCCAAAAGACAUCAGCGAAAAUUUUGGAGAAAGGUAAGCACACCUACGAGCCACAGAAGUUCUACAGCAAUACGUCUGUCGGAAAGAGGAUAGUAAUGUCAACAACGAACAAAUAGCCAAAUGCAGCUUAGGAAACUGAUAUAAACACCCUGAGUGAACAAGCUAACAACACUAUGCAACGGAUAGUCGGACACAUGACCACCGGAUUGAGAUACUAAAUCAGAGAUGACACAGUGCUGUGACACAGUACUGAAGCUAAAUCGGAGAUGCCAUAGUCCUGUGACGUUGGAUAAAUCUCAACCAUCCAAUGCGCAGCAAACGGUUUAGAUCUAUCACAAUAGUAAAUAAACAGUAAAACUGAAACUAAUAACAAAUUUUGAUUUAGGGGGUGUUUAGCCCCCUCUCUCUCCCAAACACCCCCUUUUAACUUAGCCCCCUCUCUCUCCCAAACACCCCCUUAGUAAGCAGAAUUUUUUUUUUUUUUUUUGCGAGGGAAGGGAAUUAAAUUACUCAGGAAACAUAUCAGUUCUUACAAGAUUUGAGAUAAAAGUGCAAUCACUUUCGCACCAAACCUUACUAAGACUCUCACAUCGGCCCUUAUUUGCCAAGUAGUGGCUAACAGAGUUUUGGCUCCUGUGAAUCUUCCUGAGACGAAUCUCCCUAUUCCCAAAAGCAGCACUCACUAUCUCUCUGAUGAGGUAUGCUAACUCUGACCUCUCUUCCUCCUUGCCCUGGAUCAUCUGCAAAGCCACUUGACAGUCAGAUUCUAUAUAGAAGGGGCACAUCGUCCAUUGAGACGCUAGAACGAUGCCCUCCCUGCACGCUUCCAGUUCUGCUUCAAGUGCACUCUUGCAACCAUUCAGACUUUUGAAGGCUGCAAAGAUCACUCUCCCUUCGCUGUUUCUCAUAACUACGCCGAUCCCACCACUUUCCUGCUGCGCAUCAAAGGAUCCGUCUACAUUAACCUUCAUCCAUCCAGUUUCCGGACAUGACCACAGCAGAUCGCUGGCCACCCUCUGCCUUUUACUCUUUUCCCUGUCCCUGGGAUACAUGUACACUACCUGCUUCCCUUUUGUCAGCUCAGCGGUGGGGUGUUGUCGGAUCAUGAACAGCGACUGUAAAUAGCUUUCCAGGAAUCGUUUGGAAACCUCUACUGGCGGGGGGCUUUUGCCAUGUGUUAGCUCAUUACGAACGAACCAAUUACGCCACAUAAUCAUGAGAGAAACAUCUCGUUCCUCUCCUGACACCAACUGAAGAUGAUCAAAAAACUAAUGUAAAUUGCCACUACACCCAACAGGAACUGAGGAAAUGUUUCCAGCUUUUUGCAUAGCCGACCACAAGUGGCUUGCCAAGGGACAUCGGCAUAGCGCGUGUAUUGUAUCCUCAACUUCUGUACCACAAACUGUGCAGGUGGCAAUGCGCUCCAGCUUGCGCUUCACCUUGUUUUCCAUCGUAGCAAGGCAGUUACUCGCUAUCUUCCAAGCAAAGAUUUUUGACUUUCUGCGGUACAUUGCUUUUCCAAAUUAAAUCCCAAGAAUUUGAGCUGCAUAAGGCCGACGAGCUAGAGCCCUCCUCUAAACAAGAGAGUUUCAGUGCCAAUUGAUAAGCACUCCUCACUGAGAAUCUCCCAUGUUGGUCCGGAUGCCAGGCAACAAAAUCAUCCUCUUCCCUAUGCGGUAAUCGAAUCCUCAUGAUUAAGUCCACAUCUAAGGGAGUAAAGGACAGCUUUAUCUUAGCCUCAUCCCAAGUACCAUUCUCAGUAAUGAGGUCAGAGACCCAUUUUAAUCGACAGUUUUUCUUCUGUGUAAUUGGUCUUCUCGAGUGAUCUCUCUUGGCAGCCAGGGAUCCCGCCAUAUCCAAACAGAUCGUCCAUUACCAACUCUCCAUAUAAUUCCUUCUUUCAGCAGGGAUAAACCAUGUUCUAUGGCCUUCCAAACAGGGGAAGCAUUGCCACCAAAACUUGUGUCUACAAGGGAUCCAUUCGGAAAAUAUUUAGCUUUUAAAACUCUGGAGCACAAACUGUCCGGAUUAGCAAUAAGCCGCCAGGCCUGUAUAGCCAACAGAGCUUGGUUAAACAAUCUGACAUCUCUAAAACCGAGCCCCCCCCCCCCCCUGAACUUUUGGCUUCGUUAGGCUAGCCCAGGAUUUCCAAUGGGUUCUCCUUCUACCAUUAUCUGCCCCCCACCAGAAAUUCCUAGUCAACCUGUUCAGAUCCUCGCAGACCGAUUCAGGUAAUUUGAACAUUCCCAUAACAUAAACCGGUAUGGCUUGAAUAACCGAUUUGAUCAGGACCUCUUUUCCACCACUAGAUAGAAGAUUUUCUCCCCACGAAAUGAUCCUCUUCCAGAUUUUCUCCUGUAAGGUUUGGAACUUACCCUUGUUCAUUCUUCCUUCUGGGGUAGGAAAGCCCAAGUAUUUGUCCUCAAAGGAGGAGUUAACAAUCUGCAGGGUAUGCUUAAUGGCAUCACACACAGCAGACGUAGAGGAACUACCAAACAGAAUGGAACACUUUGCAGGGUUGAUCAACUGUCCAGUCGCCGCUGCAUAUGUUGACAGGGUUUCUUUGAUCACCUUUGCCUGCUGGUUGUCAGAUUUGAAGAAAAGCAAAGUAUCGUCGGCAAAGAGGUGUGAGAUCCCCAGUGCACGGCGACAGAUAUGUACAGGGGUAAUAGCACCCUGAGACACUUUAUACUCCAGCAGUAAAGAUAAUCCAUCAGCCACGAACAAUAACAAGAAUGGGGAUAGAGGAUCACCCUGCCGUAACCCGCGGGAAGGAGCAAAUGUAUCAAGUAAGGUUCCAUUGAAUUUGACAGAGAAUCUCACCGAGGUUAUGCACUCCAUUAUCCAGGAAACCCAACGAUGAGAGAAACCCAACUUAUACAUUGAUUGCUCCAAGAAGGUCCAAUCCACGCGAUUGUAGGCUUUGGACAAAUCCAAUUUGUAAGCACAAGAUGAACUGUUUGGAUUCUUGUUCUUCUGGAUCGAAUGAAAACACUCAAAGGCCAAGAUAGCAUUAUCCGUAAUCAGACGUCCUGGGACAAAUGCACUCUGUGAUUGAGAAACCAGCUCAUCAAGGAUAGGUCUUAAUCUAUUUACCAAGCACUUAGACACAAACUUAUAGAGGACAUUGCAGAGACUUAUGGGACGAAAAUCUUUAACCUCCAUAGGUUGUUCAAUCUUCGGAAUGAGCACUAUAGCAGUGUUGUUCACCCCUGAGGGCAUAACUCCUGUCAGGAAGAAGGUUUUCACCACUCUCACUAUAUCUUCUUUCAACACACCCCAGUUCCUUUCAUAGAAACGAGCUGGAAAACCGUCAGGACCUGGUGCCUUAAGCGGCCCUAUCUGAAAGACAGCUGUGGCAAUUUCUUCCUCAGAAAACUCUCUGCACAGGGAUUCAUUCAUUUCAGGUGUUACUUUCUCCUGGAUGAGGUGUAUUAUCUGUGUGUGAUCUAAGGUACUAUCAGCUGUGUACAUCUCUUGGAAAUACUUGGUAGCCAUAUCCUCCAUCACUGUUGUCGAAUUUUGUACAGUGCCUCCUGAGUCCCUCAGCCUGACAAUUAUAUUCUUUUUCGCCCGCCAAACUGCUUUGCUGUGGAAAAACCGAGUAUUUCUAUCCCCUUCCUUUAGCCAGUUAAUACGGGACCGUUGCAACCAAAGCAUUUCCUCUCUAUAAAGCAUCUCAUUCAAUUUAUCCGAAGCCUGUCGGAUCAAGCGACUCUCAGCAUUUGCCUCCAUCAACGCAGCUAUUUCCUUCCUAUACUUCUCAAUUUGACGACCUAUAUUCUUACACUUCUUCUUACUCCAACUGUGCAGGGCUAGCAUAACUCUUCCCAGGGAAUUAUUUAUAUCCGCCAAAUCAGACUUAUGCCCCUAAGACGACCAUGAUUCGCUGAUCAGUUCUGGUAGCUCUGCCUCAUGUUCCCAGAAAAUUUCAUAGUGCAGGCACUUACGCUUUACUUGGAGACCCAACUCAGAGCUGAAUCUUAACAUAAUUGGAGCAUGAUCUGAGCACGGAGAAGUCAGGUGCUCAACAUGUGAAUUACUAAACAAGGCUCUCCAAUUAUCAUCUGCAACUGCUCUAUCAAGCCGUACUUUUACAUUAUUCCAACCAUGUCUCUUAUUAUCAUACGUGUAUGGAACCCCUUUAAAACCCAGAUCAUGAAGCUCACAGGUUUGCAUGAUAUCACGGAAAUCUUGCAUUUGGUUCUCACUGCGUUGCUUCCGGGAAAAAUGCUCAAAUUGCCACAGGGCUUCAUUAAAGUCGCCCAAGACUAGCCAAGGCAAAGUUGAACUCUGGUGUAUAGUAUAUUUUCUACCCUGGGCUCACCAUACACAAAGGUAGUGUAAUGGAUUCAAAUUUCAGGGAAAAAUUUUUGCGAAAUAUUUUAAGUCAUGUUCUUCUUGAUUCUUCCGUUGGAGUAAUCUCGUUUUUAAUCUCUUGUUUAAUUUGGAUCUAAACUUUAUUUGCAAAAUUUAUCGCUCUCUUUUUAAUUUUAUAAAAACCCCUCUGUUUAUUUUAUUUAAUCUUUAACUUUGGCUCUAAAUUAUAUUUUCUUUAAAACCCUUUGAAUUCUAUUUAAAUUCUUUGACCAAGAUUCAAAAAGUCCACAUCCACUCAUCCCUUAGAUUUCAUCUCCUUUAAAUUCUACUCAAAACCCUCUACACAAAAUUCCUAAGAGUUCCCAUUCGAAUUCUUUAACCAGAAUCCAAAGGUUCACAAAUGACCUCCUUUGAAUUAUCAUCAUCUUUGAAUCCUAUUUUUAAACUCUCUUUGAUUCUAUUUCCUUGAAAUCUAUUCAAUUUCAUCCAUACAAAAUAAUCAAAGAUCCUGUUCUUUUGGGCCAAAAACCCCUUUCUUUUGGCCCAUCCCUUUUUCCUUCCACUUAUUCCUUCUUGGGCUGCCGGCCCAGCCGAGCCGAAGCCCAGCCGAGCCGGCCAACCGAGCCGCUCCUCUUUCUUCCUCCUGUGGGCGCACUUGGCGCACGCACAUGGCGCCGCCGCCGCCCAGCCAGUCCGACGCCGCCACCUUGCCGUGCCGCCCACGCCGUCGCUGCCAAGAAACCACCAUCGACGUCAUCCGCCACCUCACGCCGCCGACGUCAGCCGCCGAACCGAACCGACAUCACCAGCCAAUCAGCGGACAGAGCUGGCGCCGUGCUCCACUUCUCCACGCCGCCGUCGCCGAGUUCUCCUUGUUUUCCUCCUCCGCAACCGUCUUACGCCACCGCCUCUCAUCGCCUAUAAAUAGACGACGAUGCCCUCUAUUUUCCCACACAUCCGAGCUCUCCGAGCUCUUCUUCUCUCUCUCCUGCCAUGACCGACUGAUGCCUGCCACCGGCCGAUCUCCUCCUCUGUUGCUUCCCUGCCUAUUCCCUUUCACCAUAGGCUUUGCCUCACUCCGGUGAUUCCAUUUUUCCUAUUUUCCCCUCUCCUUUAGCCACUUCCACCAGUCACCACCGGCACCACCAUAGCCGGCCGGAGCUGAGCUCUUGUUGUUGCCGUUCCGGCCAUCCUCUUUUCUCCCUAUGUCUUCCACCGACCUUCCCGGAUGCGCAGCGAGCGGGAACACGCUUGGCCGCCGCCGUCGAGGCCGUUCAACCACCGAAGCACCGGCGCCCUGCCCCUCUUCCUCUCUGUUGUUGCUCGGGAGAAGAAACAGAAGGAAGGAGAGAAGAACGGGAGGAAGAAGAAGAGACAUAUGACAAGUGGGCCCUCUGCACAGUAACUUUUCUCUUUUAUUUGAUUUUAAUUCAAUUUCAAUCUUUAGACACCCAUAUCUUUCCAACCACAAAUCUAAUCCCCGUGAACCUUUGAUCGAAAUUCAUCUAAUUUCAAACCCUCCCUUUUGAUACCAAAUUUCCUAUUUUAAAAUUUUAUUUUAAUAUCUUUUUGAUUUAUCCUAAAUCCCUUUAAUUUUAAAUUUCUUAAUUUAUUUAAAAACCUUUUUAAAAUUAAAUUAUCUUUAAAUAUAUUUUCUUUAUUUAUUUAAUUACCUUUUCUUUAUUUCUUUUAAUACCAUUUUUUAAAUUCUAUCUAUUUAAAAACCCUUUUUGAAUUCAAAUUCCUUUGAUUUAUUUAAAUACUUCUUUUUAUUUUUAAACCAUUCUUUAGCCACCAAAAAAGCUGCCGUGGGAACUUUACGCCUUCCAUGGAGAUGUUCGCGUGGCCUUAAACCCCGACGUCGAACCGAAGAUCGUAAAACCCGGCAUAACCUAAUCCUAAGGUCGAAGUGUUGCUCUUCGCACUCCACGCCUCGACGCGUAUAGUUGUCGAAGCCUCACUACUCUUUCGAUCUCGACAACACGCCACACACUAGUCUUUGAGCUACGUGUGAUCCUAGCCGCUCUACUGUCACACACGACUGUAGAGUAACACUAUUCCAUAAACCUGCACCAACCUCUCAACUCCCUAGUCGUUGGGCUGCUUAACUGUAGCAUCGACUAGACGAGCAAAACAUUUAGCCGAUAUGCUGCCCAUCCUUAACAUCGGCUAACCAACUCCACAUAUCUAGCCGUCGUGCUGCCCUAUUCUAGCACCGACUAGAAACCAAAUCCACCAAAUAAACCCCACCUAUCCAAAAUUAUUCUUUAUUUAUUCAAUCUCCAACCUAUAGAAACCAUCACCUCUCUUUUAUUUUCAAAUUAAAACUUCUUUUAAACCCAUUACUUUGUCCUCUCGCCUCGCUCCAAUUUUAUUCCUUGGCUUUAUCGUUUCUUGUAGCAAUUUUGCUUAUAGGCUUUAUUUUCUAUCUUUUUUUGUAUUCGUACGUUAGACCGUACAUCAAGUUCUAUCAGCAUCCAAGGAACUGACGUGGACCCAGAUGGCUACGCUAAAGCCGCAGGAAAUCUUAAGGCGCAAGGCAAGACAUAACUAAAAUUUUGAUCAUAUAGAAACCUUGAUAUAAUCUUCACAUUUAAAUUUGAUACAUGGUAUUUACUCUUUUAACAUCUCAUGGGUAGAUGUUAUACUUCAGAAUAACAUUGCGGUAAUUAUUAAUGCUUUCUAGCAUUGUUACAUGAGGUUAUUGAAAAGGGUGCAUUUGAGAUCAUUUUAUGUGGUUUAUUAUUCAAACAACUUUACAAACUUAGGAAUCCGGUUAAAAUGGGCAUUUAUGAAUUGAGAUUGUGAAUGUUGUGAUUAUGAAUGUUGAUAUAUGAUGAAGUUUGUUGGUGUGGGGAGUUUGGAAAGUUUUGGGUGAUUUAACCGAAUUAUAAUUACCCCCUUAUACCAUGGAAAUAAUAUAGUUGCGUCCAUCCACACGAUCAAGUAAUUGGACUUAGCCUAGUACAUUGUCCCACUAUAUGAAAGACUGUUGGUUGGCUCACUAGGAGCAGGAUUGGGGUGAACGCAUGCGUAAGGAGGUUGGGGGCAUGGUUCACAACGGUGGAACCCGUGAAAGCAGCGACCAUGUAGCCUUGCCUAGGCCUGGCAAGUGCCCGACUGCUAGGACGGAUCAAUAUCCCACUCGUGCAGUAACUAGUAGUAAGUGGGACCUUCGAACGGCUCUGGUGUCCUCAGCCUUGCAAACUGUUAACAUCGUGUGGGUAAAGCUGGACAGUCUCUGCAGAGGUGAAUUAAAUCAUUCGAAUGUGCCGUACUCCCGGUUCUGGAGUUGUGUCAUCAGGGUGAUUCCUACUCCUAAAGUAUAAGUAGUUUUAAAAUUAAAGAGUUGAGGAUAAAAAUGAUUUAUGGUUUUUAUUAUUCUUUUAUUUUAUUAUUGUUUAUUUAUUCAUAUCUAUUUACCCUUAAUUAUUUAUAAUAUGUCUUGCUGAGUACAUAAGUACUCACUCUUGCAUAAUUUGACAUAUGCUAACAAGAAGAUCAGAAGGAAGAAGCAAGGUCUACGGCAUCGACGAGUUUUUCUAGGCUAGUCUACACUCGAGCUUUUGCCUGUGGAUUUUCUUUGGAGUUUAUUAGUUGUAAUUUAGUGAACUAAAAGUUUGGAUUUUUCUUGUAUUUCAAAUAAGGAUAUAUUAGUUUGGAUCUUUUCACCCUUUAACAGUUGUAUAAUUAGCUUGUAUGAACAAACCUGUGUAAAUAAUCGAAAGCUGUUCUGUAUAUCAAUCUGUGCGUGAUCGAAAUCCUGGACGAUCACGAGUGGAUUUUUGGGGCACCAAGCCUAAAUUGGGUGUCCUCACAGGUAGCAUGCCACAUCGGGUCCUCCUGGGAUAAACGAAUAUAAGCAUCAAUGUAUCUCUCAUUCAUUCCUUUUAUUUCAACAUAAACAGACUCAUCCCAAAACAAAGCCAACCCACCACUUAAACCUUCACAACUUACACUAGCACACCCUUUUAACCCUAAUCUAUUCCGAAGCCGACGAACUUUUUCAAACUUUUGUCUCGUCUCACAAAGAAACACAAUUUUGGAACCAGCCUCCCGACCAAGGCACAAAGAUCCCAAACUGUCGUGGGGUUCCCAAUGCCACGACAGUUCCAACUUAAACAACUUAUUGCUCCUGGCGAGUUCCCUUCAUGGAACCCGCCAGUUUACCAGCAGCCCCAGGGCUGGUUGCUUCCGACUCUCCCCCCACCAAAGCUUCCCUGUCUGUCUUCUUGAAUCUUUUGAACUCCCUGCCUUGAAAACCUAUCUCCGGCGCCUGUUUCAGCAUAGCCGCUGGCUCCUGUCCUAGCUCAAUCAACGCCUGUUGAACCCUGCCUGUCUUCUUGAGUCCACUUUGUGCUGGUGUACUCCUCUUUUGGGCUGAUAAGACAUCUUUUGUUGAGACUUCUCCAAAAGAUGCAGCUUGCUGCAAAUUAGCCAUCGCCGGUAUCAUCUCCCCCUUUGAGCUAGGCUCUGAGGAUUUAUUACCUCUGUUGCCCCCUGUUCGCUCAACUUCUGCAGAAACAUUGAGUUUUCUAGCGUGGCUGGCCAACUGUUCAUCCACCAACAUAUCCCCUUCCUUCUCCUUGGUCUCAAAACCAUCACGGGCAUCCACUCUCGGGGGGAUAGCUUCAUCCCAAUGUUCUUCUUGAGGUCUCUUGGAUGAUGAUGAGUUUGCACUUCCAGCACCACGGAAGACCAAUCUGUGAGAGACCUCGGGCUUCUGAGUAGCUUUAACCUUGCCAAUCUUCCUCUCAAAAGGCUUAAGAGGAGAGCAUCUCAGUUCAGCCGAGAAUUGGAACGGUACCUCAUUAUUUGCACCCUUCUUAUCACAUUCCUUAUCUGAGUGGCCGAUAUACCCACACAUAAAGCAGAAGUAUGGGAUCCUUUCAUAGCGAACAUCAAAUCUCUUAAUCUCCUCCUUGCCUUGAACAUGCAUUUUAAUUGCAAUCUUUGGUUUCGGGGGUUUCUUGACAGGCAGGUCCACCCUGAUCCUAAAGAAGUCUCCUCCUUGCCUUGAACAUGCAUUUUAAUUGCAAUCUUUGGUUUCAGGGGUUUCUUGACAGGCAGGUCCACCCUGAUCCUAAAGAAGUCAUGUCUAUUCCUUCCGUCUUCUUCCACAUCCACCUCCCGAACACAACCAAAUCUGCUCCCAUAUAGCUGGCCUCUGGCUUUGGUCAUUAAAACCAAGGGGAGAUCGUAGAUACGAAUCCAGAUCGGUACUGUCUCCAAUGGGAUUUUUGAAGGGCAGGUUAGACCGUCAAAUGCCGCAACCAGCAGGGCAUCUCCCUUAUGCAACCAGGGACCUCCUUGCAGGACGAACUUGUAAUCACCCUCUGUGCUAAAGGUGAUGAUGAACAGGUUGUCUCUCAGGGAUUUGUGUGUCAUAUCAGAACGCAGCCGCCAUGCUCUACUCAUAUCUUCAAAAAGCGCAGUUUGAUUUGGAUUACGUAGAGAGUAGAACCGAGCAAGCACGGUCCAGAUACCAUCCUGCUUGAUCUCUUCAUCCUCUAUAUUCCUCUAUCACAUCUUCCUCAUCUGUUUCGAUCUCUCCCACAGUACAGGCUUCAGGUCCUCUUGACUGACUGCUUGAUUCCUCCUCCCUGCGAGGUCCUAACUUCUGAUUCCCCUGGGACAGUGCCGCCUCCAUGUGAGUAUUUCCUCCCAGCAGAUUACUCCCAGCAGGAUUCGUCGCCGCCAACUCCAAGCCUAACCCUUGAUCUGACAGACUCAACAAGGCAUCCUCAUUCGGCUUCGGGCGGGUAAUCAUCGCAUUGAUGAUCCCUUUAUCGCCCCCACCUAUGGAAGACACCAUAGAUUGGAUCUGGAGAUCUUGACCACGAAACAGGGGUGAACGAGACCUUGACGCUGUUCUCUUUGGAUCUUGUGAAAAUACUGCCUUCAGCCCUCCCUGAUCGUUCCUUAUAAAGGGUUGCCUCUCCGAGUCCCAAUCUUUCACGAGAUCAUACCAAAGGCAACACCACAGAUCAUGACCUAGACCAUAACGAGGAAUAACAGAUUGGAAACCACUAGAACAAAUCCGAUUCUGGUUUGGAAACCUAGGGCUUGUAUAUCCCCACGGAAUUACCCAGGGUAGACGACUUCCUCUGCCCCACGGUGAUUGCAGAACAAACCCUAAUUCAACAUCUAUUCCAAAACCCUGAUCUUUACCCAAAACCGAAGAGGAUCGAGCAGGCGGAACCCCUGCAGACAUCCAGAGCAGAUCGGGGAUGAACCCCAUCCAAAACCAUCGCAAAGUUUGAGUGCAGGCCGCCGCCACCCGAUCGCCCGGGCGUCGCCAGAACCCUAAACCCAUGUGUCCCUGUGAAGGCUGACGUAAUAGAUACUCUAGUAAGCAGAAAUUUAAGUAUAUGGAGCUACAAAUGUUAUUGGAUGAACAAUGCCAUGUUCAGGCAUUCUGCAUGUUAUGGCUGCAUUGGUUGGAGUCCAAGAAUCACGGUUUUCUUGUCAUCAAGUCUAACCAUAAUAUCUCCAUCUGAACAAACAAGCAGUAAGCAUGCAAUAAACAAACCAUAUCCAGGCAAAAUGUUAUAGACAAAUCAUUUGAAAAGAAAUGAACAGGGAAGCGAUCUCUACAAGGGCUGUCAACGAGCCGAGCUCGAGCGAGCUCGUCUGCCUAGGCUCGAGCUCGAUACAAGCUCGAGCCGAGCUCGAGCUGAGCCUAUAAAAUUUUCAAGCUUUCAGACAGGCUUGGCUUGAUCAAGCUCGAGCUCGACUACCGAGCUUGAUUUUUAAGUAAAACAAUAUAUAUUUCAAAGAUAAUCUUUAAAAAAUAAUUAAUUUCUAGUUCAUCAUAUUAAUAGAUGAGGAAAAAAGAAUAAAAUAAAUAUAUGAUGUCAAUAUAAGACAUACAAAUAACAUAUUUGAUCUACUAAUUUAUUAAAUAACAACAAAAAUCAUAUAUUACUAGGCUCAUUGGAAGCUCGAGCUCGGCUCGACAAAGCUCGCGAGCUUAGAGAGAGGCUCGGGCUCGGCUCGUCUGGAGCUCGAGCCGAGCUCGAAUCGAGCCUAGAACAAGCCGAGCUCGAGCAGCUCGCGAGCCUCGAGCUUUUUUGACAGCCGACUACACAUGGGAAUGACACUGCAGCGAUCUAGCUAACACAUUCCUUUUCUUCAGAAAAUGCAGCGGUAUGGAAAGAUAUAGUGUCCAGAAAAGGCAAAAACUACUUUAUUUCUAGUUAAUUCUUUGCUAUAAAUAGACUAUGGCAUGUUGUGCUCAAACAGAAGAGCAAUGAUAUAUUGUGCAAGAAUACAUUUUAUUGGAUGAGUUAUGCAGGAUAUUGUACAGGGGCGAAGCCAGAAUAAAUGAUCGUCGGGGUCAUUACUAAUCAGGGUCUAUGUUUUCAACCAAAACGGAUUGAAAACAACGCAAUUUCGAUGUUCCAACUUGGGACAAAAGUAGAUUUUGAGUGAAAUUUGGAAUAGUUUUUCAAGAAUUCAAAUUUGAAAUUGUAAAAUUAAACCAAAUUAAUAAAAAAAAAUAUCAAAUUUUGGUUAAAAAAAAGCCAUAUUGCUAUAUUUGGAAUCUAAUUUUAAAUCGAAUUGGUGAACCCUGAUACAAUCUGGGUGUUCAGACCUAGCUACGGGAUCUGAACCCUUCCCUCCCAGCACGCAAAAUAGAGCGAGGUUACCACAUAAUUAAUUAAGCAUUAUUAGCUUAUAAAAAACUUGAAAGACAAUAGAUUAAUAAGGUUUUUAAAACAAUUUCCUAUAGAAAUUAUUUUGCAAGGGAAUUUGUAAAGUUAUGAGCCGCUAGCCUUAUGCAUGGUCUCAAAUCUCAAAAACUCAAAGUAUAUGCAUAUUCGGCUGACGUAUAAUCAUAAAUGCUAGGUAAUUUUCUAUUUGUUGCUGCUAGUAUCGUUUCUAGUUGUCAAUUGGAAUUUAACACAACAAUCAACAAUUAAUGUCACCGGGGUCUAAUAUUUGUUUUCACCGGGGUCAUAGCUAGUAAAAUAAAGAGGAUAUGAGAGGUUAAAAUAAAAUCAUCGGGGUCUACUGACCCCGGUAAUUGACUGUACCUUCGCCCCUGAUAUUGUAGACGAGUCCAUGCCACCUUUCUUGUUUACAACGAAUAGGUUACUCCGUAAUUCAAUUUUCUGUUCCCGACUCCUGAGAGAGGAGGGAUCAUUCAAUCAGUAACAUUACAAACUUCAUACACAAAUCUAAAAUAUUAAACAGGGAUUAUUAGCUCUUAAUGUGGAUUUGUCCAAUCUUAUUUGAUCUAAUGGUAAUGUGAUUCUGUUUUACAAAAACCAGUCACCACACAAACAGGACACAUGAAAAAUGCUUAUGAACCAUGACACAAACAUGAAUUCAAGCACUAAAUAUCUCACUUCGCUGAAGCAUAAAGCAAAUUCAGAAAGGCAUGCAGCACAAAAUCCACAAUAAUAUGGCAGAAAGAAUUGUCACCAGAGAAUACAUUACAUAUGAAAAAGCAGAGGCACAAAAUGUGACGAAGUGUGAGCACCUGGACAGAACAGCCCUGGAACAGACUAGUAUACUUCCCAAGUCAAUGGUUGUUCUAAAACCUGCAACUAAACUGGCAGAGUGAGGCGCUAGAGAACAAAUAUAAAAGGUGUCACCAAAAUCUAAAUAAAUGCUACCCUACACAGGCCUGAAUUAGGUACAGAGCCACCAAAAACUCAAAGCAGGAAAUCGAGUGUCAAAGAAACGAAAAUACAUAAACAGAUCAGUAAUGCAGAAUGAUAAACGAGAGAGGCACACAAAGGAAUCACCUUGAACAGAAAAGGCACCGAGCUGGUGGACAAGUCCAGCCUGCAGAACCAUAAGGGUUAAUUACCAGCGGAUGGUAACUGCAACAAUAAGGUACCACACCACGGAUUAGGAAAUAUCAGGCAACUAGCUGCCUCUGCUGAUCAAUAGUUCAUUCUGCAAAGAUAAUGAAAAACUUUGAAAUUAGUAGCAGAACUGUAUUUCGCUAACGAACAAAUGUCAUUCUAUACACAUCAAACAGCAACUCAUGCACUUUACAGAUCAACCAAACUUUUUGCAUUCUCUCUAGUUCUCCUUAAGUUGAUGAAAAAUUGAAGUAAAACUAAUCAUCUGAGAAAUCUUCUCUCCCUAAGAAUCUUAUUUAUCCAACCAAUCUUGUCAUCUAGGCCAGCGAAAUGAACCAUAAAGUCUCCAUCUGAAUAAACCCCUGCACAUUGCACAAUCAAUUGGCAAUGAAAAAAACUUACCGUAAACAAAUUAAAAAAGAACUAAAGCAUGGAACACGGGAAUCUCUACUUGAGUGACUGGCGCUAAAAGUUAUAGAACCACUAAGCUGAGUUGACAAUUUCAAUCUCUUCUGAAAUUAAUGCAGGAAUAGACAACAAUAAAAGGUAUCAUGCAUGUGAAUCAAAAUUUUAUUAACAUUACAAAUAUCAACCACAGCACAAGUAUAAUGUAUCCAAUUCUAAAGUGUAAGAAAAUGAGGUUUUUAAACAAAGGAUUAAGGUUUUAAUCAAAAUUACAAUGUGUAAAUUCUCUUUUAUAACCAAACAGGCAUAAACACCAAAGAAAAUUAGUCAUAAAGCCAAAAGUAUUUUCAAAUUAAAUUAAUUUGGCCAUGGGCACCAGGAGAUUAAGUAGAUAAAUCCAGAUAACUCCUAUAAAUCCCAGUUCUAAAAUCCAUCUAAACCAUAUUAAAUAUGUAAUGUAGAGUGAUUAUGAAAACAAUGAGACCUUUCCAUGUAGUAGAAAGAUGGAAAAUAAGGCGAUGCAUUGAUUUCCAUGUGGGUCUCCAAGGAUAGGAAUUAAAUAAGCACUGCAUUUUUGCAAUCCGAACAUGUUCUUGCAUUUCUUCAGGUGAAAAGUGAUCUAUAAGAUGCUUCAAUGCUGCAUUAUCUCCACUUUUUGUGGAACCAAAUUGUAUGAAGGAUGUAAGGUUCCACCAUGUGUCCAGAAACUUCUCACUCCACUUUGAGCCCCGUAUGAAGAAUACUCCUGCAUAGCAAGGGGUAUGGAUAUAUUACUUCAUGAAGCCAUGAAUGAGGCGUUAUCCCCCUUUUAGUUUGCAAAUCUCUGUUGAUAAGAACAGAAGGAGUAGAAGAUACAAAGAAACAUGAAAAAUGCACAAUUUGAAAUGCAUAUUUGUACUCCCAAAGGGAGUAGCUAUAUUUAUGGCACCAUAUUUUUCACCAAAAAAUAGUUGGUAUGUAUUUACAUUACAAGUCCCUAAAUUACAUAUGUAAUUUUAGUGUAUCUACAAUGUAAGUCCCAAAAUUACAUUGUAAGUGGUGUGUAAGUAGGGUGUAACUACUGUGUAAAUUUGUAUAAAUAUAUAAAUAACUACCUACCUAGCUUGUAGUUGUUGCGCAACAGCACGUGCGAAAGCUACUCACACGAAGCAGCACUAAUCUUGGAAAAAAUCGGACCCCCAUUGUAAUGAGCCAGAAAAAGUGGCGACACAAUUCUAGCAAAGCCGGUCCCCCAUUGCCCCCCAACAACCAUUCAUGCUAAGCAGUGUGAUUCCUAUUUUAACUUG
rnacentral:lncRNA from 1 species